UACGUAGGGUGCAAGCGUUGUUCUGAAUUAUUGGGCGUAAAGCGCGUGUAGGCGGCUUUGCAAGUCGGGUGUGAAAGCCCUCAGCUCAACUGAGGAAGUGCGCCCGAAACUGCAGAGCUUGAGUGCCGGAGAGGGUGGCGGAAUUCCCCAAGUAGAGGUGAAAUUCGUAGAUAUGGGGAGGAACACCGGUGGCGAAGGCGGCCACCUGGACGGUAACUGACGCUGAGACGCGAAAGCGUGGGGAGCAAACAGG
rnacentral:rRNA from 1 species